GACGAACGCUGGCGGCGUGCCUAAUACAUGCAAGUCGAACGCUUCUUUCCUCCCGAGUGCUUGCACUCAAUUGGAAAGAGGAGUUGCGGACGGGUGAGUAACACGUGGGUAACCUACCCAUCAGAGGGGGAUAACACUUGGAAACAGGUGCUAAUACCGCAUAACAGUUUAUGCCGCAUGGCAUAAGAGUGAAAGGCGCUUUCGGGUGUCGCUGAUGGAUGGACCCGCGGUGCAUUAGCUAGUUGGUGAGGUAACGGCUCACCAAGGCCACGAUGCAUAGCCGACCUGAGAGGGUGAUCGGCCACACUGGGACUGAGACACGGCCCAGACUCCUACGGGAGGCAGCAGUAGGGAAUCUUCGGCAAUGGACGAAAGUCUGACCGAGCAACGCCGCGUGAGUGAAGAAGGUUUUCGGAUCGUAAAACUCUGUUGUUAGAGAAGAACAAGGACGUUAGUAACUGAACGUCACCUGACGGUAUCUAACCAGAAAGCCACGGCUAACUACGUG
rnacentral:rRNA from 1 species